UGCCGCUCAGAGUAAUCACAGUCCAUGGCGUGUCUCUCUCUAACAAUGCCACCUGUCCUGUUUUUCCCAGAAUUGCUCUCUUUUUUUCAACAGCUCCACAGCAAACAUAACAUGAUAAGAUAUUAUAAACUUUUUUUUUUUAUUUAUGACUGAUCAGCCUAAUCAAUACACAUUAAUAAAUGUACAAAAUAAACAAUAUCUAAUAAAAAGGUAAGAAAUAGAUUCUUACAUACUGGGGCACUAGCACAUACAUAAGUACAUACAUUUAAUUCAUUUUAUGGUAAAAGUACAGAACAGAAAUCAAUAACACUUGAGCUGAGGUGUCCAAAUUACCUGAAUGCACCCGAUUACAAUAUUAAAGUGAUGUAACUUGAUUACAUUCAGUUAGUUUUGGAUUAAUAACAAAGGAAGACCAGAGAAACUGAAUAUCAGUAAAAAGUAGAUUUUUGUGUAUCCUGUUAUCAAGUGUUUAUCUGUAUUUUUUUGAUUUUUAUCUUAACAUUUGACAAGAGAAGUUACAGUAAAUAUGAUGCAAUAGAUAUGAAUAUGAUGAGUUUCUCCAGCAGGGACACGAACUCAGGAUAAAAGCAGAUUUUCUGAACACAGAAUUCCUGCUCUAAUGACAGAACUGAACAACUCUGAAGGGCUACAGAGUUCUCUGGUAAAUGACGUAAACCACAUUGAAGUCCAGCCCACAGAUUUUCUGACGAAUCCAUGUGGUGCGCGCCAAAAGGGGCGGUCUCGCUCGUUUCCCGCCUGAAAUUAGCGCAUUUCCCUCCAAAAAGUUAGAUGUGUAUGUAUUUAGCUGACUGAUCAUCACUCUGGUCUCUUCUCUGAGGAAGUGAACACGGUGAACAGUGGGACUUGUCUUCAGCUUCAGGUGGAACAGCUGUGACCUGUAUGGUGAUCAGCACUGGAGAGGAGAGACACCUGGUCCAACAAGGUGAUGCACAAGCGGCUAAGACGAAUAAGACGAGCCGCCACAGGACCUGAAGCAGGAAAACUGAGUAUCCAUCUUCUGAUGAAACUCCUUCAGGUCCUGCAGUUGUUUGUUGACUCUGGUUUCACCUGCUCAUACAGUGAGCACUGUUGCUGGUUAUUUACAUAAUAAAAUCUUUUUUUUAAAUUA